rnacentral:rRNA from 1 species
UAGGGAAUUUUCCGCAAUGGGCGAAAGCCUGACGGAGCAAUACCGCGUGAGGGAUGACGGCCUGUGGGUUGUAAACCUCUUUUCUCAAGGAAGAAGUUCUGACGGUACUUGAGGAAUAAGCAUCGGCUAACUCUGUGCCAGCAGCCGCGGUAAUACAGAGGAUGCAAGCGUUAUCCGGAAUCACUGGGCAUAAAGCGUGUGUAGGUGGUUUGGUAAGUCUGCUGUUAAAGAUUGGGGCUCAACCCCAGAAAAGCAGUGGAAACUGCUAGACUUGAGUGUGGUAGAGGUAGAGGGAAUUCCUAGUGUAGCGGUGAAAUGCGUAGAUAUUAGGAAGAACACCAAUGGCGAAGGCACUCUACUGGGCCAUAACUGACACUGAGAGACGACAGCUAGGGGAGCAAAUGGGAUUAGAUACCCCAGUAGUCCUAGCCGUAAACGAUGGAUACUAGAUGUUGCACGUAUUAACCCGUGCAGUAUCGUAGCUAA